rnacentral:lncRNA from 1 species
CGAGUGUGGCGGGGGGUCUGGAAAACAGAGGGAUGGAGAGGGAGGGCUUUGGAGCACAGAUGCCAUAGGGAAAGAGAUUGGCAUGAUACAGGCAUUGCUGGCAUUUUGGUCUGGCUGUUUACGGAGUGAAGAUCAUCCUCUAAGUGGGGUUACUGGAGAAGUGGAGCUGGAAGAGCCGUGCUUUAGCUUCCAGGAGGCCAGGGUAGAGCAGGGCGCCGGAGCUGGUAUGAGGCAAGUGCUUUGGUGAUGAUGUGAGAGAGCUGUUUGUCUGCUAUGAAUGCUCUGUUUGUUUAACUGGGGCAUUGUUUCACUGCCUGAGCUGCACUAAUGUGUUCUCUGAGCAGCCGUGGAACACUGCUUAGAACUUUGUAGGUAUCAUGAAUGGAUUGUUGAGCUGUCUUGUUGAACUGGGGUGAAAAAAACUGUAAUUACAGAAGUAAUUAUAUUAAUAAUAGGUUUAUAACAUUUUCUGACAACAGAAGCAUUAGAUAAUUAACAAAAGAUUGAGGUGCCAAAAUUGUUCUUUAAAGCAAUGUCACAGGAGAACCAACAUUAAUAGAGCUGGUUCUUAAAAAAAAAAAAAAAAAAAAAACGAUUAUUGUUAAUAAGUGUGAGUUUAAGAUAAUUUAGGCUUGUUAACACUGUGACCUUUAGAUUAGAUCAGAUUCUACAUUAUAUUGUAAUCUAACAAAUACUAAUCUUACUCUAAGAAGUCCAUCUUUUCUGCAGAUGUUACCUCCAACCUUCACCCACCACGUAUGGUCCAUCUAAUCACUGCCUGGUUUAGGUCAGUGCAAUGUGGUGGAGUUUGGUAGAUCUCCAGGAGGAAGAUUUGUGACAACUUAUAAAUAGAUAAUACAUUCUAUGAGAGCUACACGUUUUUUCUUUGUUUGAACCAUUUGGCAACCUCUAUUUUAAGAAAUGUAGGAACUUCAGGAUUUAGGUUGUAUGAAAAUAUUUAGAGAGUUUGAAUUGAAUACAAUUAUUUUAGCAUGUAAAUACAGCUCUGGAGUGUACGUAAAAUUUAAUGUUUUAUUCUAUCAACUACGGACAACAUCUUCUAAAUUUUAAAUAUUUGGUGGAAUAAAACUGGUUUUUAAUAACA